ACCUCCCUAAAAUAAAGCUGAUUACUUUUGAUGGAAUUGAAACUAGAGCUUGGAUUAGAAAAAGUAUUGAGUAUUUUGAAGUCUAUAAAAGUCCCUAGAGAACAGAGGGUAGGGAUAGCAAGCCUCUUAUUAAUUGAAAGAGCAUAUGCAUGGUAUCAUACUGGAAGAAAAGUGAGAACUCUGAUGUUUGGGAGGCGUUUGAGAAAAAUUUGUGUGCAAGUUUUGGUGAGCAGGGUUAGAGGAUGGAUCAGUACAAAACCAAUACCUACUAUCAAAACCCUAUAACCUACAACAAGAGUACUUUACCUAAUCAAAAUUCUUCUUAUCCACCAAAACUUCCCAAUUCUGAAUCAUCUCAAAACUGGAAAACCAACCCUACCAGUAUAUAUAAAGCUGCAAUUACUCAACCUUCCACCUCCACUAUCCAAAGCUCCACCUACAGCAACCAACAACCCACCCAAUCUGAAAAAAGAUCAGCCAAACCCUACUUCAGGUGUGGGGAGAGAUAUUUCCCUAGGCACAUCUGUAAAGCCAAAUCUGUUAUGGCUGUGCAGAUAGAAGAGAUUGAAAGUGUGGGCAAUGAAGAAGCUGGGCAGGAAGAAGUGACUGCAGACCAAAUGGAGGAUGGUAAUGAUGAAAUGACCUUGUCUGUCCAUGCAUUUAAGGGCAACCAAGGAACAAAUACCAUUAAGCUACUGACAGCCUACAAAAAUAGGCAAUUGGUGGUGCUGGUUGAUAGUUGUAGCACCAAUAGUUUUUUUGGAUAGAAAGAUAGCUGAUGAGUUGAAACUUCCAGCACUUUCUACUUGCUAGCCCCAUUUCAGCUGUUACUGUGGCGGAUGGAAGAAGAAUAUCUAGCUUAGGAGUAUGUAAGGCCUUUGAAUGAAAAAUUCAGAAUUCCACAUUCUCAUUUGACAUGAGAAUUUUGGACCUUGGGGGAUUUGAUAUGGUCUUGGAGUGGAUUGAAUGAAGAGCUUCAACCCUGUUCUCUUUGACUUUGAGGGGGAUAAAAUUACUCUUCAGAAGGAUGGGAAAUUGGUGACUCUGCAAGGAUACUAUUCUUCCACCUCCACUGCUGCCUUGGAUCUAUUCCGAAAAACAAUCAGCCCAAACCCCUACCAGCUGCAAUACCCCUCCCAACUCUGCAAUCUCUUCUGGCUAAGUACAGGAACAUAUUUGAGGAACCUAAAGGGUUGCCACCCUUCAUAUCUCAUAACCAUACCAUUCCUUUGCAAUUGAAUUCUAGGCCUGUGACCAUAAGGCCAUAUAGGAAUCCUCGCUAUCAAAAAGGGGAUUGAGAAAUUGGUGAAUGAAAUGUUGGCAUCCUCCAUCAUCCAGCCAAGCAAGAGUCCAUUUGUCUCUCCUAUGUUGCUAGUAAAGGAUGGCUCUUGUAGAUUUGUGUAGACUAUAGGAUUGCUUCCUAACCCCAAUCUUGGAUCUACCAAAGACCAAGGGGAAAGGUUUAUUCGUUGGGAGGAGUUUAAAGAAGCCCUUUGUACUAAUUUGGGGAUAAAGGGAUAGAAUAUGUAGCAGAGGAAUUCAUAAAACUGAGGCAGGAAGGUUAUAUGGAAAAAUAUCAGCAUAUAAUCGUUAUGUAGCCCGUUUCAAUACAGAGGCCCAGUAGAUUCCCGAGCUGGACGAAAGCAGAGCAGUAGAAGCCAUGCAGAAAGGGAUGACCUCCCCAGAGUUUUUUGGCUCGUUAAGUAGAAAGCCCCUAUCUCGCUGGCGGAACUGAUGAAAAGAGCGGAAAAAUACAUAAGGUAGGAUGAUGCCUUAAUGAGGAGCAGGUUCGCCAAGAAAGCGGCAGACAGGGGGAAAGCCCCAGAGGAAAGGAGGCCGGAAAGGCACGAAAAAAGACAAAACAAAAGGCCUGAAGUGUAUAGACAACCUUGGGACCGAAGGGACUAAAUACCAUUUCCUCCGCGAGUUCCAGAGACCCUGACCCCUCUCAACGCCUCUCGAGCCAAAGUGCUCAUGGUGGUAGAAAACAAAGAAUUACUCCAAUGGUCGAAACCAAUGAGGGCUGAAGCAAGCCAGCGAGAUCCUGACAAAUACUGCUAGUACCAUCGUACAUACGGCCAUGACACUAAUAACUGUUACCAGCUGAUUAGUGAGAUCGAAAGGCUGAUUAAAAGGGGGCACUUGCGAAACUUUGUAAAGAAACCAGAAGGAGAAAGACCUCAGCAGAACCCUACUGUAGAAAGACUCCGAAGGCCAAGGACAGGACCGGUUAAUGACGGUUCCAGUGGAACCAUCAAUAUGAUAGUUGGAGGGACUGGAGGUCGGAUGAGCAGGAGAGGGAGAAAAAGGGGGCGUAAGAUGGAGAGACUUAUGCCUAAAUUGGGGAAAAAUUAUAUUUCGUCAGGGUUUAUUAGGGGUUUAAAAAAUGAAAUCAGACCCAUAGUCAGGAUGAUGACGCCUGCCACCUAACCCAUGCAUUUGAGAUAGAUAGAUAUCAACAACGACUUUUAGGGGCUGCCAAGAACCAUACCUUUGCUAUUAAAUCCUUUACGUCAUUCCAUACAUCAACUACCAUCAACCCAAAUUCCAUUACCUACAAAAAUUCUCAGUCAACAUAAAACCUUUCCUAUGCACCCAAAACACUACAUCAACUACCAUCAACCCAAAUUCCAUUACCUACAAAAUUUCUCAGUCAACCCAAACCCUUUCUUAUGCACCCAAAACACUAGCUGCUGACUGUAAUUUCUUCCCAAAAUAAAGUAGCACCUCCACCAGUAAUACUUCAAAGCCAUCCCAGCAAUAACAAUUCAACCCAACAAUCUCAAACCAAGUAAAAAAUAUGAAUUCCAAGCCUCAAACUAAUUCUUCAACACCCAAAAUAAUAACAAGCAGGCUUAGAUCUUAUUAUAGAUAUGGUGGCAAAUAUUUCUCUGGCCAUGUUUGUAAGCAACAGAAGGCCAUCAAUAUAGGACAUGAUAAUGAAGAUGUGGUUGGGUAGAGUCAGGAAGGAGGGACUGAAGUUGAAGUGAGGGACUGAAGAGGAGGAAGUGUAUGGCAAUGAAUCGUGUGAACUUUGGAAUUUUCUGUAAAAAAAUUAGUACGAAUUUAUAUAAAAGUGUGAAUGAAAGUGAUUUCCUAGAUUAAGCUUAAAAUUAAGCUAUUAAGUCUAAGAUCAAGCUUACAAUCAAGAACAUAUUUAUACAUAUUUAGUUUCCAUAACACUCUCCUUUCAAAUUUAAUCUUUAUAACACUCUCUCGAAUUAGAGCAAAGAUAUCAAUCAUGCUCAACUUAUUACAUAUGCAAUCAAUCCGGUUUUGUUUAGAGCUUUAGUAAAGAUUUCUGCUAAUUAUUUUCCAAUUUUGAUAUGUCUUGUUAAGAUUAUCUUUCAUUUUAUCUUUACAUGAAUGAAGUGAUAAUUAAUCUCCA